GACGAACGCUGGCGGCGUGCUUAACACAUGCAAGUCGAACGGACAGGCCCUGCUUUUGUUGGUUUCUCGAGUGGCGAACGCGUGUGUAACACGUGAGUAACCCGCCCCUGUCUUUGUGAUAUCUUCAGGAAACUCCGGCUAAUACCCGAUAUGAUCUCCUGCUUCAUGUUGUUCGUUGGUAAGUUUCGGCGGUUCGGGAUCGUCUCGCGGCUUCUCAGCUUCAUGGUCGGGUAGUGGCUUACCAAGCCUUUGACGGGUAGCCGGCCUGAGAGGGUUACCGGCCACAAUAGGACUGAGAUACGGCCCAGAAUCCUACGGGAGGCAGCAGUGGGGAAUAUUGCAGAAUGGGCGGAAGCCAGAUGCAGCAACGCCGCGAGCGGGAUAACGGCCUUCGGGGUGUAAACCGAUUUCGCCGGUGACGAAGCGUGAGUGACGGUAAUGGGUAAAGAAGCAACGGCUAACUACGUG
rnacentral:rRNA from 1 species